GGUACAGAAGCACAAAACAUCACGUACAACAUUUCUACCUACUUCUUUAGUUAGGCUUUAGUUCUCCUUUAACUAAUUGGCAGAUUUGGGUUUUUUUCUUGGUUACAAAUCCAGUGGGAUUACGGUAUUCGUAUCUGAUCACUUCCUGGACAUUGAGUGAGAUGUGAUUUCUUUUCAUACAGUUUAUUACUGUAUUUUUUUUUGCCUUUUGCACAUUUGUUUCUUAAAUCCUUUAUUCUUGAUUCAGAUCCUACUGCCACUGUCCCUCAUGUACCGGAAUAAUCAAUGUUAACUCAUUCCUUUCCACAUUGCCUGAUUGCAGGAAUAGACCAAACCCGACGCUGGAACGUCCAUUUUAUUGCACUUACUAUGAAAGUACCGGUUUCUCAGGAAAGAGAUAUCUAAACGCUGUUUCACUUCGGCUUUACUUCUGCGUUGCACUCUUGCAGCGUCUCGUGGAGCAGCGGGUGACUCACGACAAUCACAGAACAAGUUCCUACCGAUGACAUGAAAAGAGCAUUUUAGCCGGUGCUAAAUCACGACGCUGUAAUUGCAGUGAUUCAUGCGGAGAACAAGUGGCCCAUCAGUGGCUACUUUAUUUAUUACAGGUGAGAGUAAAGAAAAGAAAAACAUCCGCUAUUAGUAGUUCACAUAUUGAACGUUCAGUCUUUGGUUGGUUAAAGGAAAAGUUCAGUAUAAAAAUAAAAACUGGAUAAAU